UUUAAUUCUCGACCUUUUGGCUAAGAUCAAGUGUAGUAUCUGUUCUUAUCAGUUUAAUUCUCGACACGUUUAUUGAGUCGAAUGUGCAUCAGGUUUUGUGAAGAUGAAACAAUCAGCUAUCAAGAUUUCUUAUACGUGACUGCCAAAAAAAUCAGAACACGAUGAUAAAUUCCAAAUUUAUGUUUCACUUUCU